GAAAGGCACCAGGGGUGUCUGUCUCAGCUACAGCAUCUCGGUCUGUUUUGGCGGAAGAUGCUGGCGAGACAGGCUGAGAAAGUCCCUUUGAACCUGAACAGGAUAAUGCCUGCGUAGGGAGUGUGCAUUUUCUUUUCU
rnacentral:ncRNA from 2 species